AACGAACGCUGGCGGCAGGCUUAACACAUGCAAGUCGAACGCCCCGCAAGGGGAGUGGCAGACGGGUGAGUAACGCGUGGGAAUCUACCCAGUUCUACGGAACAACUGAGGGAAACUUCAGCUAAUACCGUAUACGCCCCAAGGGGGAAAGAUUUAUCGGAAUUGGAUGAGCCCGCGUUAGAUUAGCUAGUUGGUGGGGUAAUGGCCUACCAAGGCGACGAUCUAUAGCUGGGCUGAGAGGAUGAUCAGCCACACUGGGACUGAGACACGGCCCAGACUCCUACGGGAGGCAGCAGUGGGGAAUAUUGGACAAUGGGCGCAAGCCUGAUCCAGCCAUGCCGCGUGAGUGAUGAAGGCCUUAGGGUUGUAAAGCUCUUUCAGUAGGGACGAUAAUGACGGUACCUACAGAAGAAGCCCCGGCUAACUUCGUGCCAGCCGCCGCAGUAAGAC
rnacentral:rRNA from 1 species